AUGUUGCUACUCUUUAAUGAAUUGAUUUGGGUUUGUUUGUUUCUAUCAAUUUUGUUGCUUUAUGUUAUAGGGACUUUUGGGGGUUUUUUUAUUGGUUAUAUUGAAAUAAACAAUUUAACAUGUUUUAAUUAGCGUUUGUAGUUGUCGACUUUUUUGGUGCAAAUUGUAACAGAGAGAAAAUUAAAUGGGCGGUGAUGAUAUAAGAAAAUCGUUUAUUUUCGUUGUUUUGGCGUGGCAAUCUGAUGAUUUGCAUCCAUAAUGAGGUAGUAUAUCUGAGCCUUCGAACACACGUCUAAGCAAACCAGAUGCGUUCAUAUUGAAAGUUUACUUUUGAUGAUACUGUUGGUGCUUCUCUUCAAGAGAUUGAUUUGGUGUGGAUGCUAAAUCACGACUUAAAUAUGAAUGCCCAUGUUGGUCGACUAUCGUCACCAUAUCACGGUUACCAUCACCACCCGCGCCGCACUAUCACCACCGUCAUAUGGCCUAUUUACACUAAUUUUAGAGUUGUGGAUCCUAUGAGAAAAUCCAAAGGCACCUAUAAUCAUAAAUCAUGUAUCAGAUUCAAACGAAGUCACCGCAGUUCGAAGCGUCAAUGGAUGCGGCAGUGGUUGCUAUAAUCAAGUAUGUAAUUGACAUGGUCAUGGACACUAUACACCACCGUUUCCACUGCAGUCACCCCUCCUUUUCUUUUUCUUUGCAUUAAUUUAUGUUUCACUGUCCGAUGCUUCUCAAAAUAUCCACCUUUGGCGCCGACUGUUUUGCUUCGAAAGAUUGUUAGGUAAUGUGGUUUUCAUUAGUCAUUUGUUUUUAAUUUGUGUUUUAGAUGGUUUUGAUUUAUGAUUUGUUUUCAAUUUGGGUUUUAGAUGUUGAGUUAGGGCUCAUAUUUGGGCACACCUGGUAUGAAUU
rnacentral:lncRNA from 1 species